rnacentral:rRNA from 1 species
CCUACGGGCGGCAGCAGUGGGGGAUAUUGCACAAUGGGGGGAACCCUGAUGCAGCGACGCCGCGUGGGUGAAGGAGUGCUUCGGCAUGUAAAGCCCUAUCGGCAGGGAAGAAGCAAGACGGUACCUGACUAAGAAGCCCCGGCUAACUACGUGCCAGCAGCCGCGGUAAUCCGUAGGGGGCGAGCGUUAUCCGGAUUCACUGGGUGUAAAGGGAGCGUAGACGGCCAUGCAAGCUAGGGGUGAAACCCCGGGGCCCAACCCCGGGACUGCCCUUGGAACUGUGCGGCUAGAGUGCGGGAGGGGCAGGCGGAAUUCCUGGUGUAGCGGUGAAAUGCGUAGAUAUCAGGAGGAACACCGGCGGCGAAGGCGGCCUGCUGGACCGCGACUGACGUUGAGGCUCGAAAGCGUGGGGAGCGAACAGGAUUAGAUACCCCGGUAGUC